UCAAAAUCUAAAAAUCAUCUCUCUCUCUCAUAUGCUCUCUUGCUCUCUCACUAGAUGGUGAUUCAACCAGAUGCAGAUUAUACUACGAGCUCUCUAAAAAUCAUCUCUCUCAAAUGCUCUCUUUCUCAUGUAAACACUAAUUUUUGUUUUGUAGGUUUUGAACAAGAUAAAGGUUUGGACUACGGUAUUCAACUCCGGUUCCGAUUCAGAUAAUGGUGAUUCAACUCCGGUUCCGAUUCAGUUUAUUCUCCUAAAGAAGCUUAUGAAGUUGUUUCUAGUGACUCAUUGGACUUCGAUUCUUGGGUUUCACUCAUUUCAGAGGUUGAGAAAACUUACUCGGUUCUGGUGCAAACGGUGCUAUUAUAUAUUAUAAAGCAGAACCAGAUAGCUGUAGUGUUGUGGAUAAACAGAAACUCUUCCUACUAGACAGUGGGGCUCAGUAUCUUGACGGAACAACUGAUAUAACACGUACAGUACAUUUUGGUGAACCUUCUGAACGACAAAAAGAAUGCUUCACCCGAGUUCUUCAGGGUCAUAUACCUCUUGAUCAAGCAGUGUUUCCAGAAAAUACUCCAGGUUUUGUCCUGGAUGCAUUUGGCGUGCUUCCCUAUGGAAAGUUGGACUUGAUUACCGUCAUGGAACUGGGCAUGGAGUUGGAGCCGCAUUAAAUGUUCACGAAGGUCCACAGAGUAUUAGCUUUCGAUUUGGCAAUAUGACUCCCUUGCUUAAAGGCAUGAUCAUCAGCAAUGAACCAGGCUAUUAUGAGGACCAUGCCUUUGGUAUUCGAAUUGAGAAUCUUCUAUUUGUCAAAGAGGUCAACACUCCUAAUCGUCAUGCAGGCAACGUUUGAAGGCAGUUCGGGUGGCGGGUAUUCGAGAACAGGAGUUAAAGAUGAAGCUAGGAGAAGGUAUGCUCGCCGGCUGCGGGAGGAGUUAGAAGAAGAUAUGGAGAGAGUGGUGUGUAUCUAUCUCUAUAUAUGUUUUAUGCUAUUAUGACAUUCUGGUGUGAAAUCGAUUCUUCACUGGCUACUGGAAGUAACUUGUUUAUCACUCCACAGCAGCUUCCAAAACUUAGUGUGGGGCCCGGAAAAUUGCUGGUCAGUUCAAGACGUUUUCACACCCGAAGAUUACUAUCAAGUCGAACCAGGGCCAAGCAUGAUCACACGGUCAUGACUGGUGACCUUUUCGCAACGAAAAACAUCAAAUCAGACAUGAAAAGUUUAAAAAUUUUGGAUCUAGAUCCUGGUUUAGAACCGACAUGAAAAGAAAAACGUGAAGGGGCCCGAGAGUUGGAGAAACAGGUAUACACUCAACGUUAUUCACAUUGCUGCUUCGGAACUUAACAAAGCUUUGAGAGUUCGUUUACUGAGACGCCCUUCUCGGGCAAAACCAGCUCAAACACGUGGAAAGAAAGCAUGGCUGGAAGAUGAUGCGGUCCCUAAGGAAGAUGACACAUCUACAUCAAAGCAACAUUCACUGAAUGAGAAACAUGUAGAUGACACUUGUCAGCAAUCUAGCAAUCUGAUCUCCUGUCAUAUGAACAUGUAGUAUUACCCUUUUGACCCAAAACCAAACCUAUAUCAAAUGUGUCAAAAGUAGCUGGAUGUUUGAGUAUAAUACAGAUUUUGCUGAACGAGUGUUUGUCGAUUCUCGGGGUUGAGAAGGGGAGUAUUGAGAAGUGCAGAAGUUUGAGUGGAAAAUACUGGAUGAGAAGAUGAAGAAGUAGAUACUUUUAGUUAUUAUGUGAAUUUCCAUAUACACUUUCUUGAUACAUUAUUUUUGGGUUUAUGUUGCUUGAA